rnacentral:rRNA from 1 species
GCAGUCGAACGGCAGCACGAGAGCUUGCUCUUGGUGGCGAGUGGCGAACGGGUGAGUAAUAUAUCGGAACGUAUCCAAUAAUGGGGGAUAACUAAUCGAAAGGUUAGCUAAUACCGCAUACGCCCUACGGGGGAAAGCAGGGGAUCUUCGGACCUUGCGUUAAUGGAGCGGCUGAUAUCUGAUUAGCUAGUAGGUGAGGUAAAGGCUCACCUAGGCUUCGAUCAGUAGCUGGUCUGAGAGGACGACCAGCCACACUGGAACUGAGACACGGUCCAGACUCCUACGGGAGGCAGCAGUGGGGAAUUUUGGACAAUGGGCGCAAGCCUGAUCCAGCCAUUCCGCGUGAGUGAAGAAGGCCUUCGGGUUGUAAAGCUCUUUCGCAAGGGAAGAAACGAUACCGACGAAUAAUCGGUGUUAAUAACGGUACCUUGAUAAGAAGCACCGGCUAACUACGUGCCAGCAGCCGCGGUAAUACGUAGGGUGCGAGCGUUAAUCGGAAUUACUGGGCGUAAAGCGUGCGCAGGCGGUUUUGUAAGUCAGAUGUGAAAUCCCCGGGCUCAACCUGGGAACUGCGUUUGAAACUACAAGGCUAGAGUAUGGUAGAGGNGGGGUAGAAUUCCACGUGUAGCAGUGAAAUGCGUAGAGAUGUGGAGGAAUACCAAUGGCGAAGGCAGCCCCCUGGACUAAUACUGACGCUCAUGCACGAAAGCGUGGGGAGCAAACAGGAUUAGAUACCCUGGUAGUCCACGCCCUAAACGAUGUCUACUAGUUGUUGGGAGAGUAAAAUCUCUUAGUAACGCAGCUAACGCGUGAAGUAGACCGCCUGGGGAGUACGGUCGCAAGAUUAAAACUCAAAGGAAUUGACGGGGGCCCGCACAAGCGGUGGAUUUAUGUGGAUUAAUUCGAUGUCACGCGAAAAACCUUACCUGGCCUUGACAUGUACGG